rnacentral:lncRNA from 1 species
GGGAUCAAAACCUAUCAUGCCAACAAGUUAAGGAUAAAUUUUAGUGAAAAUUUAAUUCAAUGACCAAUACUAAUAAUUCGUUAUUGUUGUGGACCGAAAACAUAUUUAACCGAAUAUUUAAUAUACCACUACAAAAAAAUCUUGCGUGGACUAGUUUGUCUCUUAGCAAUAAGAUAAAGAUCAAUUUUUUUGUGCAUUGUUAUUCCGGGUUUUGCUUGCGUGUCCAACAUCUCUUCCUUGUCAAAUUUAGGUGGCAGCUCCCAAUCAAAUGAAUGAAGAAGAUUAGCUAGUGAAAGCUCAACUAUGAUCAUUCCCAUGCUCAUUGCAGGACACAUUCUCCUUCCUGCUCCGAAUGGAAUCAACUCAAAAUCUCUCCCCUUGAAGUCUAUUGAACUCCCAAUGAACCUUUCAGGAUAAAAUUCUUCAGGGUCUUCCCAACUCUCAGGGUCCCUUGCUAUUGCCCAAGCAUUUACAUGCACUAAGUCUUGUGGAACUCAUCCCACUAUGUGACCUUUCUUGUUCCUGGCAAAGAUGGUAUGUGGACACCUAAGCUCUGCAUGUUAGAAGAGCUCAUAUCAUCUCCUAUAAUCUGCCCACAGCUUGUUCUUGACUACUCAUCACUCUNNNNNNNNNNNNNNNNNNNNNNNNNNNNNNNNNNNNNNNNNNNNNNNNNNNNNNNNNNNNNNNNNNNNNNNNNNNNNNNNNNNNNNNNNNNNNNNNNNNNUAAUCAAAACACCAACAAUAACUGAUCGCUCACCAAUAGACACACAGGUCACGCGCAGCACAUUUGUCACACACAGUACACACACAGGAUUUGUCACACACACACAAGAUUUCAUCAGCACCACACAACCAGCAAAAACAUCAGCAACAACAGCAAACAGUAAACCACAGCAAACAACAGCAGCAAAUAAAGCCACAACAGCAGCAAAUACAGUGGCAUGGACAAUAACAACAAUUGAACUGAAUUUUUGCUCCACAAACACAUCAAACCUCCCGCCGUUUCCACAGAUUGAACCUCGACAUGUCUCAAGUGCAGGCUGUGACCAAGAAUCAACUGUACGCUGUCGCUGAUCAUUAAGUUUGGUCUCUUGUAACAACAAAAUUUCUGGUUUCAAAUGCAAAACUACUUUUUUUCACCACUAUCCUUUGGUCGAUCCACCAAGGUCGCGGGCGUUCCAAGUUAGCCAUGGUUCUGACAUGUCAAUUAAGAUGAGGAUGGUUUUGGCGAAUUUGAGCUUCUAAGCCACGAAGCAUCAACGCUUCCGAGCCUCGAGGUUUCAAACCCAACUGCAUUCCAAGUAACCAAGUACUAGCUCUAAGAAGUCAACAGGCAAAGGUUUUGGCUUAUUCUUGCUACCUUUUGGGCGUCCCUGUUGCGAACUUUUUUGUGAAGAGUUUGUAUUUGGAGAUUGUUCCAAAUCCGGUGAUACAAGGAUUGAUGUUUCACGAACAGGGGAAUUUACAGGUUGUAUGCGACUCUGAAUUGGCGUCACAGGAGAUGCUUCAUGACGCACAGAUUAAGGGAUGGAGACCUGCUUUCUGAUUAUUUGGUUCGGUGAUGUAUGAAAAAAGACGUCCCUGUUUUCACGUGAUUGAAGCGUAGGUGAAGUUGGAGAAGUUGUCAAAUAGCCAAGAAGCUCAUUAUUGCUGCUAAACUGAUUGGGCAAACACCCCCUUAGCCCUAGGACCUGAUUAUUGAACCGUGGGCCCCUGCAAGCUGAAUUAAAAGGCCAAAAAAUAUUGUUAUUUUGAAACAAAUCUUGAGAAUUAAAAGAAAAACCUGUAACUGAAUAUCUUCUCUCUUGUUUUUCAAUUUUUUUUUAUCCAAGAUUUGGUUUUCUUUACUCAAAAUUCCUUCAGCUUUUAAACUCUUCUUCCAUCCCUCAAUCUCCUCCAGAGAAUAGCCAGAAUCAAUAAUAUCACGUAACUGCUGCUGCUCAUCUUUACGUAACUGCUGCAGUUGUUCCUCAACAGAAUUGAAGGCUGCCAUUAAAGCUUUUGAAUUUGAAUUUGGCCCCAUAGCCGGCGGUGCAACCAUGGCCGCCUCCUUUUCCGGCGACUAUUCUUCCCCAUCAAGCACCUCAGGAAUUAUUUCAUCCUUUCCACAACAUCGCAGGCCUUCAAAACCGCCAUCCCUAAAAAUCUCAUCCUCUUCAUCUGGGUCAAUAUCAGAGGCCGAAUCCUGAUUUUUUUUCAAGUGGAGAAUAACGUUUACUUCCACCAUCUUCAAGCAUGAACGCAUCAUCUUUGAUGUCGUCCACAUUCGCUUCAUCAUCUGUUUCAUCUGCUUCCUCCUCAGAAUUAUAGAUUUUUACCGGCGUGGACAGCAUAUCCUCCACAACGCCAUAAUCAUGGACCUCUGCAUCCUUCUCAACCAAUAUAACGCACGACGUUCCUCCAACAGCCAUAGACAUAGUAAAAUAGUGUAGAAUCGGAUGAUUCAUACGAACUAGUAUACGUGCAAAAUCAGCCCGAUGUCUCAACGCAGUUGGAGUAUCAGACAAGACUUAGCUUCCCAAUUUAUUUCCUAUGGCAGCAAAGAAAAUCUCAUUCCAUAAACCCAUCGGAAUUUGCCAUAAUCGAACCCAGACAUAGUGCGAAGUACCAAAAGUGAACAUAGACAUGGUUUUACCUCAGUAAGCAUCUGUUCCAGAAAAAUUGCACACUCCGUGAUAGUGCUUUCCAUCUCUUCCUUAUUUUCAAACUCCAACAGUACCUCAUUCGCACCAAACGGAAUUAGUCUGAAAUUGAAUAAGCCAAUUUGACUAAACUCUUCCUGUAAAGUUUCAACCGGUUUGAUUGUAAGUGUUCGAGCCUGUGCACACCGUUGAACCCACUUUUCAUCCAUGUCUGCUGCAGCGAAUUGCAGUUGGCUUGUCCCUUGUUUUUCAGAAAUCCUCUAUGUACCUUGCUGUUUCGGGGAUACCAUUUCUUGUUUUUUCACAGAAAGUACUUCCUUUGGUUUCCACCUCUGAUUUCAUAUUGAUACCGCCCUUGAGUUGUGACUGGAGCAGCUUGGGAAGGCCUCUAAAAUCUCGCUUACUGUACCACCAGAUAAUUUCCCUCAAGUCGCAAGCCAUGGAACUUAUGUAUCGCAACCCUGGCCUCAUCAUCACUUAUAAAUCGCAGAUGAUGCUUCUUUUUUUGUUGGAUAAAAACAUCACGUAAACGCCUUGCCUUCUCAAAUAUUGCUCUCAGUUUAGCAUGAGUGACCCUAUCCCCCAAACCAUCAACAAAGAUUGAAAAUGACUCUGGUUGCUGCUUCGAAUUUUGCUGUUGCUUUUCUCUAUUCUGGUUUCCUUGGCUGUGAGUCAGUGGCUGAUCAGACUACAGGCCUCCCUUAUGUGAGAAACCCGCUGUCGCGUUCUGCCAUUGUUGAUCCGAUCUGCCAUUGUUGUUCCAACACAUUUCAGAACUUUGCUGCUGCUGAAAGCGUGAUGGCAUCCAAGCACGUUGUUGGCGCUACCAAUGGGUAUGAUCUCCGCUGGAACUCUGAUCGAGACCCACACCGGGCUUCUGCUAUGGCCGGUAACGUUGAUCACGUCUCUUACCGCCCUCCUGCCAUGGCCGGAACCACCGUGCUGGCGGCGGCCACCUUGAGCUUCUCUCUCGACUCUCUCUCAUCUGCAUUCACUUCUUUUUCAGAAUCGAAGAGCAUCAUGUCCUGAAGAAGAUCUUUGGCGGCGAUUGCUUGGUGAUUUACCUUUGCAAACCCAGAGAUUCACUCAACCCCUUACAAUUCAACAAGGGCUGGACUGGACCUAGGAAGUAGGGGUGUACAAGGGACGGGUUGCGACGGGUUUUUGUUAACCCUAAUCCGGCCCUAAAUAUUGACCGGGCCAAUUCAUAGACCCUAACCCGUCCCUAGACCCGAAGCAACCCGACAAUAUGCGGGUUCAAUUUAGGACGGGUCUAUGUAGGACGGGACCGGGUUGGCCCGAGGGACAAUAAGUCUAAAGACUAUUUAAUCUCAAUUGUUAAAUUUAAAGAUAAUAACAUACUAAAAGAGUUAUAAGUUGGAACUAUCUCUUAGAAGAAAAAACUUGAGAGUAUCUAAUUCUUGCAUAAUCUAUUGUACUGGAGAAGCUUACAUUUUUUUAUCUAUAUGCAUGCGCCACUCACUUUGUUUGAUCUCUCUUCACUUGUCUCACAUGUGCAUAAUGCACAUGCAUGAUUUUCUCUUCGUUAGAGCAUGAAAGUGUCGAUCUUGUGACCAAUGUUUAUUUAAUUCAUAAGGUAGAUGUUAAACAUUUUCAUCUAAUUCACAUGGUAAGAUAAAUUUGAGUACCAUCUAUCACAUUUUUGAUCAUCAUAACAAAUUAAAAUUUUAUAAAAUAUCUAUGUGGGACGGGUCGGGCGACCCGAGUGUCAACCCGAACCCAACCCUACCCGAAGUCGGACAACUCAAUGAUCAACCCGAACCCGAUCUCUUUUAAUGAUCGGGCCGGGUUGGCGGGUAAGGCCGAGUCUUGUACACCCCUAGGUUCAACCUUACAUUUGUUGACCAUGUAAGUUAUUAACUUAGUGAAACCAAACAAAUUGGUUUUUUUUUUUUUUGAAAAUAAACAAAUUGGUUGGUGAAGGCUCCAAUAUAAUAUUUGUUAUUGCUGAUCAGUGCUGACAUGAUCCAGUUACAUAUCUGACAUUUAUUGAUUAGAAGAUGAUUUACACUAAUUAAUUAUACUACAACUUCUGCAGGCGUGUUGAGGUGGUCCUAUACGUACCAUCUAUACUAGAUACAAAACACAAGUGCUUAAGGACGACAAAAUCCGAGGUGUCACCUUCCAGGCAACCCUCCACGUGUCAAAUUCUCAGACCCUUUCAAAAGGAAGCCCUUUUAGUCUUCAGUUUAGCAGAACCGGUUAGUCUCUGAUUUCUCCAUUGCGUUGGCCACAUAAUUGCUCAAUGUCAAUUACGGGUGUCAUCCAAUUCAAAAUUCUUGGCGCUACCCAUCUUCCUCUGCUCUCUUAUCUACCGUUCUUUAAAUUCAUUCGAAGCCACCCUCAUUCACAAACAAGCAUUUCAUCUAAAUCCCUGUUGUUCUUCUUUUUCAAAUACCCUUUCUCUCUCUCUCUCAAUUCCCUGCAAUUGCCUUUCUCUCUCCCUCUCUCUCAAUUCUCACCAUUUUCCUUCGCAAGAAACUUAUUCCACGGUGAGAGCGCUUCAUUCUCCGUCCUCCUCCUCCAACGGAGCCCGCCACAGUGACGGAAAAGGCCACGAUUUCGAUGGUGAAGGUUAACAGAGACCGUCACCGGCGACAUGUAUGGUUACAACUUCAACCACCACAAUAACAACAUCAACGACUUAGAUCUCACCUGCGCCGCUGAUUGCUUCGACACCAACCAGCUCCCACCGGAAAACCCCUUCAGCGAGCGGCGUUUCACUUCAAAGACGCACUUCAGUCCCUUCUCUCCGCUAACGGUGGCGCCAGAUCAUAAACGGUGCUUCCAAAAAAUCCAUCGGUAAGAUCUUCUCCUCCUCCUCCCUUUUGACCAUUUUCUUCUUUCAAUCAUUUUUGUUGUUGUUCUUCCUCUUUGUUUUCACAAAUCAGAACAAGUUUUGGUAUUCAUAUUGUUCAUUCUUUUCACCAGAGACCUUCAAUGUGUUACUUGGAGUAGGAGAUUUGCAAGUUUUGUCUGUCUCAGAUUUGAGUUUAUUACUCCUCUCUUUUGCCCAUUUAUCUUUGGUCAUUUACUUCUUUUAACCCUGUUUGUUCAUAUUUUUCAAAGAUCAGAACAAGAGAGAAAAAAAGGGCUUGAAGAUGGAAGAUGGUGAAUUGUGAAACCUUCCCAUGAACUGUAAUGUCCUCUUUAAUGUUGAGCAAUCCAUUUUUCUCAACCUUUAUGAUUUCUUUCGUUGAUAGUGUGUACUUGGAUUUCAACUGUCUAUACUCAAGAUCCUGGUUUAGUUUAUCAUCACAUAAUUCUCUGAACUGUAGACAAACAAUGCUUAUCAUGGUACAUUNNNNNNNNNNNNNNNNNNNNNNNNNNNNNNNNNNNNNNNNNNNNNNNNNNNNNNNNNNNNNNNNNNNNNNNNNNNNNNNNNNNNNNNNNNNNNNNNNNNNUUUAAUAAAAAAUUUAAUCCCUAUAAAGGGAGAAAAUAGUGGUACCUAUUUUUGGGGUUUAAAAAUUCAAGGGGGUAGGGUUUAUUAUAGGGAUUAAUGGGAUAUGCCCCGUCAGGUGUGAAAAAGUUUUACACUACGGUGCAAUUCACAUUUUGCCACAUAAGAUUAAGUGGGUAAUAAUCCUUUUUAAUUCCAAUUAGUAAAUUAAUAAAUUACUAAUGUGGCGGGAAAUCAAUUGAGUACAUGUGUAAAAUAAGUUUACAUUGUCAGUGCACCUUCCAUUUUCUCUUUUGGUAACUCCUGUAAAAAGUGAAUAUUAUAUGAGGUUAUUGCUAAAUUUUACAAAUGGGCUCAUUCAUUUCCAAACAUAAGAAAAAUAUAUGAAGUUACAUAUAACACAUUCAAGAACGUGUGCUACACGAUGAGCUUACUUGACGAUGAUAAAGAAUACAUUAAUGAAGUAAUAGAAACUUUGCAUUGUUGUGCUACAAACAAUAUUAGAAGACUUUUUGCUACUUUACAAUUAUCAUAUUAGGUUUUAAGGGCAUAAUUUGUUUGGAAAGAAACAUAAGAGUAUUUAAGUGAUGGUUCUUUAUAGGCUUAAUUGCAACUUUAGUCCCUGACGUUUACCAAAACCACGAUUUUAGUCCCUCACCUAAUUUAAUUACAAGAAUAGUCCAUCACGUUCCCUUCCGUUUGCAACGUUAGUCCUUCCGUCUAAUUGUUAACGGAAAAUGCUUAUGUGGCAACGCACAUGCCUCUCAUGUGACCAAGAAAAAUGAUUUAAUUGCGCCUUUGGUCCCUGACUUAUACACAUUAUGUAGUUUUGGUCCUUAAAGUUCAAAAAUUGCAUUCAAAUUUAUAUAAAAACAAAAAAAAACCAGAAAAUGAUAAGUAUUCAUAUUCUUCAAAUUUAAUUACAUAUUUAUUAAAUCAUAAUCAGACAUAAUAUUAUAAAUUUUAAUUUUAAAUAAUUAAAAACAUAUGUAUUGAUUUGUUUAUACUUUAUAGAAUAAUAAAAAUAUAUUUAAUCAAUACAUUUAACUUAAUAUAAAAGAUAUCGGAAAAAAACAUGGAGGAUUAUAUAUACAUACUUUAAAUUUAAAUUAAAUUGGAUAGAAAGAGAAAAAAUUAUGAUUGUUAUCAAAACAUUACUGAAUAAGAAUUUAAAUAAGUAUUUUAUAAAAUCAUAAUCAGGCAUAGUAAAAUAAAUUUUAAUUUGAGUAGAAUUUUUGAAGAAGAUGAAUAGUUAUCAUUUUUUAUUUCUUUAUUGUUUUUUUAUUAAUUUCGAUGCAUUUUUUGAACUUUAAGGACCAAAACUACACAAUGUGUAUAAGUAGGGGACUAAAAGUGCAGUUAAAUCAUUUUUCUUGGUCACAUGAGAGGCAUGCGCGUUGCCACAUAAGACUUCUCUAUUAAAAAUUGGACGGAAGGACUAACGCUGCAAACGGGAGGGAACGUGAGGGACUGUUCUUGUAAUUAAAUUAGGUGAGGGACUAAAAUCGUGGUUUUAGUAAACGUCAGGGACUAAAGUUGCAAUUAAGCCAAUUAAAAACUAAGAAUUAAAAAAUCAAAACCUAGAAAUACAGAUGUAGUUUUCCUAAUUGGUCUCUCCUAUAAUUUACCAAUGGAAUUUUACCAUAGUAUGAGCAUGAUGAUUAUACCCUUACGUUUAUCUUUUAAAUGACAUAAUAUAAUUUAAUUGGUAAAGACAUAUAACGAAACUGUUCAGAAUUCAAAUGUGAGUUGGAGUCACAUAUGGUUAACAAUGAGUGAAGUGAAUACUUUAUAUGAGAUCUAUAAACUCAAUACCUUAAGAUUUUGGGUAAAUAUGUUGUGUCUAAAUCUCUUGGUGAUCUUUGAUGUUGGCCCAUUGAUACAUGAUCUCAUGAUUUAGGCUCCACCUGUCUCCCAACAAGUGGUAUCAGAGACGAUGUUGGUGUAGCCACGAGACAGCUCCUUGUAUCGAAAAUUUACCUGGCGAUGUGGUCAGGCUGCGUGUUCUGUUGACGCCGUGAAGCGAACGACAAUGCAAAUGUGAAUAGCAUGAGAAUGUAGUAGUGACUCGCACUUGAAGAGAGGUUUCAAUCCUAGAAAAACAUGUGCUGAAAUUAUGAGCUGUAAUAUUGCUUGGAUGUUGAACAUGUGGAUCUUGGUAUCUAACAUAUGGGGUNNNNNNNNNNNNNNNNNNNNNNNNNNNNNNNNNNNNNNNNNNNNNNNNNNNNNNNNNNNNNNNNNNNNNNNNNNNNNNNNNNNNNNNNNNNNNNNNNNNNAUCUGCUCAAUCAUAUUUAGCUCGUGGAACUGAUGCUCACACAAUCCCUGAGGACGAUAAACCCGUAUCUGCUUUGCUAUGAUUGAAUCAUAAGGGUUUAGGUCCAAAGCAGUACUAACAAGGAAAAAACCUUUAUCAAAUUUGGCGCCGUUGCCGGGGAUUGUGUUUGUAAUGUUGGUGAAGAUAGUGGAAUGUUGAUUUGAGUUGUAAAAAAGGUAAAUAGUGUACAUAUUCUAUGUUUUGUUCUUAUGUGUCAAUUUCACUGAUUUGUUCUUGUUAUUAAUGCUUGUUGUAGCCUGAUCACCUAUAACAUGAUUUGAGAAUUGAAAUUCUUUGAAUCUGACCUAGAAUGAAUCAGCUAGUGAAUCUAAUCCUAAUUAGGUCAUUAGUCAUGAAGUGAUGAUUUUGAUACAUAAGUGUGUUGUAUAUAUGUGAAUUGUGCAUAGUUGUUGUUUUCUUAUUCCUGUUUCCUUGUUUUUGUUUUUAAAUUCCCUAAGGAUUCCUCACUUUUAGUUCUUGAAUGAUCUUUUGCAAGUUUUCAUGGUCAAAAUCAUCUUUUGAGUUGUGUGAAUCAAGAUAGAACCAUGAAGUUUUGGAAAUCAUGAAUUUUGGUGUGUUUAUUUUCUAUGCUUUUGUGGCUUUCUGUUUUAAUUUGUAGCAAUAGUGAUUUUGUGAAGUUAUGCCAAAACCUGAGUUUUAAUGAGCUUCACAAAUUUUAUUUAGCAUAUUAAGACUGUUCAAUGAGUUUGGAUGCAACAAAUGUGAUAAAAUCAAAUUUUGGGGGUGUGACUUGUUGAAUUUGCAUGUGGAAUGGAAUGUGAAUUGGAUUAUGUGCUUUUAAUUCUAACAAUAUGAAAUUGAGACUUGACACAGGUCCAAAAUAGUGUUUUUCAUGUAUAGGGAGGAAUGGAAAGCAAGGAUGGUAAGUAUUGUAAAAUUUGAGGUAUGAGGUGGUAAAAUAGAAGAAAAUCAUGUCUUUAAGUGAAAUUGCUGCAUAAUUAUGCAGGUUGCUCUCCAAGACCUUUGAAUUUUCUCAUGUUCAAUGUUAUUUUAGUAUAUUUAUGCAUUGAGUUUUGUGUAUUGGUGCUUUGGUUUGUUAAAUUUCAAGUUUGGUUUGAUUUUAACACUUUGCAGCUCUUGAGGUUUCAUUUUUUAGUUUUAUGAACUGAGUUUUUGAUCUUGUGGAUUCAAUGUCUAAAUGCUAGAUUUUAAGAUUUCCACAAGUUUUCCUUGAUGAUUAUAUCAUGUUCAAUCAAGUUUGGGGUAAAUUUUUAGCAUGAAUUGGUUUUUGGGGUAUGGAGUUGUAAAAUACUUGAGAAAUUCCCUGGAAUCCUGUCAAAUCUGCAUAAUUCUCUUGUAGUUCGCUCAAGCCAACAUACAGUUUGCUCAAGCGAACACGUAUCAACCCUUAGGCAAACUUGACUUCAUGAUUCUUGAAAAACUUGGCUUGAGCAAUCUCUAAGCCAACGCAACUUUGCUCAAGUGACUACAACUUUGCUCAAGCCAAGUACCUACCUAGAAAAUGCAUCUUCCACUGGAAAAGGUUGGCUCAAGCGAUGCUUAAGCGAAAUACAUACUCAAAAACACUGUUUUGAGUUCUGAAGUGCUAAAAGGGAUGUUUUUUGAAUUUUAUUAUGCUUAAGCUCAUAAUUUUAUUAUUCUUACCCCUCUUUUGCGUUCUAACUUGAUUUUAAGUGACUUGAAGGCAGGUUCAUGAUGAUAUUUACAUUUGGCUUGAAGACAGUCCUAAUCUCUUGGAGGGGGUGAGAGCUUUGAUGAGCAACCUUGGAUUAAAUGCAAAGCAUCAUGAGGGAGUAGUUUUUGUCCUUCUUUCUUUUGUUUUUAAUAUCUUAUUAGCAUUUUGGUAUAUAUAUUAAUUAACACUUUGUGUAGAUUUCAUCGAUAGCUGACUGGUUUUAACUAGUAUGGUUAAUGAAACAUCAAUAUAAUUGCAUGAUACGCUUUUAAAUGCAAUUUGAAUUGUUUGAUUCCUUGAUUUAAUUGGUGUUUGCACUCAGAGAUAGCAUGAUUUGAUAUGAUUGUAUGAUUCACAUGAAAUUCAUAGGCAUAACAUGAAAUUUUUUGAAAAUCAGGGAAUGCUUUGAAUCCAAACCAAUGUGAGGGAGUGUUCCUAAACACUUGUGAGCUGAGAGAUUCUUCAUUGUGUUGCAUGAUUGGUUUUGUUUGAGUAUCUGAUUAUCAUUGUUGUAUGUAAUUUCUUGGAAAUGAUCAAGGCAAAUUUUGUUCCAUAUAUACAGCCACUUAGCCAUAUAGCCUACCAUUUACAUGUUAAUUCCAUUGUUAGCCCUUUUGAGCCUGGAAAAGAAUAUUGUUCUGAUUUGUUCUUGUUUAUAACCUUGAGCCUUAAAAGAAAAACAAUGAUCUCUCCUAAGCUGAAUGGUUUAAGAGAGCACUUGUUCAUGAUAUGGUUGUAUUCAAGUUGGGGAGAGAAGGAUAAUAGUGUUAUUUUUGUGUGGUUUGUGUAUCAAUCUGUUUGUACAUACUUGAAAGUGAAAACAAAAAGAUGAAAAAGGAGAAAAAGAGAAUUAAAAAAAAAGAUAGAUUGAUGAAAAGGGUGAAAAGAAAAGAAAAGAGUGGUGAAUGAGAGAGUUGGUAAAAGCACUAGAGUAAUUUAUCAUUUAUGGUUAGUUUGAACUAUGAUUGCUCUCUUAGCUUGUUGAGUACCUUGCAUAUCCAGAAAAACCAAUUUUCUUUGAAGCCUAACCACAUUACAACCCUCAAAGACCUUAGAGAUCCUUGAUUGAACAUGCAGCCUUGAUAACUGCGGAGACGGAUAACAAAAUUGAUUUAUGUGAUUCAGUGAGUGAACUGAGUGAAACACUCGCCUUACUUUGAACAUAAUGAAAUGCUGAGUGAAUGAAUAUCCCUGGUUGGAAAGGAAUGAAUUGUAUGUUUAUUGAUUUUCAUAGUGGAUGUGCAUUUGUAUCAUUGUUGUGUUUUUCUUUUGUAGGCAUCACAUUUCUAAUUUUGGAUCCUUCAAUUUAAAAUCUUAAGAAAUCUUGCAAUUUGAGCUUUUGAGGAUUCAAAGACCAUGCCUGUUGAAUGAAAGUCAUGACCUUUUGUUUGAGGACAAACAAAGUGUUAAGUUGGGGGGAGUUGAUAAGUGCAAUUUUUACGUGUUUUUCAUUAUCAUUAUAGACACUUAUUUGACUAGUAUGCUUGCAUUGUUGAUCAUUUUAUCCCCAAAGUAGCUUGCUUAGAAAAUAUUUAGUUUUAGCAUAAAAAUAAUGUAAAUAUUAUGCUUUUAAUAUUUAAUGUCUUAAUUUUGAUGUAGGAGUAAGAUGAUCACUUGAAGAAGGCUUGAAUCUUGAGCAAGAAAAUAAAGUGAGGAAAGUUGGCUCAAAUUUAGCUUGAGCGGACUGGAAACAGAGCUGAAAAAUAAGCAAAGGAAAGAGUUCGCUCAAAAGUUGGCUCAAGCCACCACUUUACAGUAGAUUUUCAGCAUAGUUCGCUUGAGCCAACUUGAGUUAGCUUGAGCGGACUGAAGGCGGCCUUAACUACUUUAGCAUGAAGAAAGGUUCGCUCGAGCCAACUUAGCUUGGCUUGAGCCAACUAAGGUCGGCCAGAAACUCUAUAAAAGGCCAGACCACGAAAUUUUCAGUAUCUCUUCCAUCUCUCUUCCAUUUUUUCCUCCCUAAACAUUCAUAGGAGGCUGGGCUUCAUGGGGGAAGGGUCCCUGGGUCUAGGAUUGAAAGAUUGAAGCUCCGGAGCGUGGCGGCGACCGCCGAAGGACCGUGACAACCUCUCGAGGGCGAUGGAAAGCUUGGGAAAGCUUCUAUCGCCGUGGAUCCUUCGCCGUUCUUCUGGGUUUCAUCUUUUCUUCCUUAUCCCUUGGACUUGUUGUUUCUAUUUUUGUAUUUAGGAUGUUAUAACUUGAUGCUUUGAUUGUUGUAAACUCUUUUCAUAAAUGUAAAUGAUAAUCUUUCAUGUAUGGUGUUUCUUUCUAUGCUUCAUGCCUCUAACCAAUCAAUUGAUAAUCAAAAGAGUUCACUAAUUUAUAAAUAGAUCGAAAGGUUGAUAUGAAUUAGUGUAUGCUUAGUUCAAUGAAGGUAGAACACCUAUGUCUUAGGUCACAAUUUGUGUGUUAAAGUUUUGCUUUAUGUGCUUCAAGUAUCAGUGAUUUGCGUUAGAUUUCCGAGGACUAGCAUGAGAUCGGGAGAUAAAUGCAGGUCCGGUUCAAGAGAGAAACCACUCACUAAACCAAUUGUCUUAAGGUGAGAAUAUCUUAGGUAAGAGCAAUAGUGGAUUUCCACGUGACAGGUGGGAUUCUGAGUUCUAACAGGAGUUUCCGGGUGAGAACGGAGAUUCGCAAGCCUAAGAUACCUUGUAUUAGGAUAGAUUGGUCAUUGGGAAUGUCUUUGAGAGAGAACUUGAGUUAUAUUAUUCCUUUUGGGUUUUCUAGAUGGUAAGGGAUUACGUCUAGAAUUCCACUGAUAGAUUCACCUAGGCUAGGGAUAGUUAGGUGGAUAGCUCUCGGCAUCAUAAGUGAAAUGAACCAUUACAUAAGUGUUUGAGUUGAAAACAAUCAAAGGACUAGGUGACGACAUAUCUAAAUACAUUUUCUUCUUUGUUACCUCAGUAAACCUUCUUUUACUGUUUUCUCCUAUAUUCAAAAUCACAAAAACAAUUUAUCAAACAUCUUUGUAUCCGCUCAGAUCAAUGUUUAACUGGUAGAACUAAUGUUCACACAAUCCCUGAGGAUUAUAAACCCGUAUCUGCUUUGCUAUUAUUGAAUCAUAAGGGUUUAGUUCCAAAGCAGUACUAACAAGGAAAAAACCUUUAUCAAAUUUGGCGCUGUUGCCGGGGAUUGUGUUUUGAAAUGUUGGUGAACUAGUAGAAUGUUGAUUCGAGUUGUAAAUAGUGUACAUAGUUGUUCUUGUGUAUCAAUAUCCCUGGUUUAUUAUUGUUCUUAAUGCUUGUUGUAGCCUGAUCAACUAUAACAUGAUUUGUGGUUUGGAAUUCUGUGAACCUGUCUUGGAAUGAAUCAGCUAGUGAAUUUAAUGUAAUUUAGGUUCAUUGGUCAUGAAUUGAUGCAUAGCAUAAUGUAUAUAGGUGCUGUCUUGAGCAUAGUUGUUAGCGUGUUCUUUCUCUUGCUCUCUUGCUUAUGGUUUUAAAUUCCCUAAGGAUUCCUCACUUUUGGUUCUUGAAUGAUCUUUUGCAAGUUUUCAUGGUCAAAAUCAUCUUUUGAAUUUGUGAAUCAAGAUAGAACCAUGAAGUUUUGGAAACCAUGAGUUUUGGCGUGGUUAUUAUCUAUGCCUUUUGUGGGGUUUCUGGUUUAAUUCGUGACAAUAGUGGAUUUUGUGAAGUUAUGCCAAAACCUGAGUUUUAAUGAGCUUACAAAUUUAUUAGCAUAUUAAGACUGUCAAUGAGUUUGGAGCCACACAUGUGAAAAAUCAAUUUUUGGGGGUGCCUUGUUGAAUUUCAUUGGGAUGGACGGGAAUGGAAAUCCUUUUAAUCUCCCAAUGAAUUGGAAUUGCCCGGUCCAAAAGUUUUUUAUUUUGGGGGAGGCAACCGGGGAAAAUUGCAAAUUGGUCGGGGGGAAAAAAAAAAAUUUUAAAAANNNNNNNNNNNNNNNNNNNNNNNNNNNNNNNNNNNNNNNNNNNNNNNNNNNNNNNNNNNNNNNNNNNNNNNNNNNNNNNNNNNNNNNNNNNNNNNNNNNNGUUUUCAAAGCUAAUAAUUAGGAUUUUGUUGGAACGGCUAAAAUGUAAGUGGAAAGUCUGGCAUUUGUCUAUCAUUAAAUUCCAUCAACACACUCAUUCUACAGAGAAUUAAGCACCAAUUAAGAACCCAUGGGAUGGGGUGAUAUCUACAUGUAGUAACUAUUACAGGCAUGACUGCUCAUACAGUUGAAUGCCUUGGUAACAUGAUCCAUGUGGGUAGGGUAAAAAACAUCUUGAUAAACAUGAACUUACAACACUCAGACAGACGGCUAUAUUCACAAAUAACCUAGAUUAAUUGCGAUCCUUUCAAUUAGUUGGAGGCAAUUUUUCUUUUAAAAUAUAACGUUUGAUUUAUUUCAAUUUGAACAUAUACUUUGGUAUGAUACAUAUCUCAUAUCUACAUCUCUGACAUUUCUUCCUUAAAUAUUUUAAAAUUAUUUUUAAUCAAGUUUCAUAUAUUAUCCUUAUAAUUUAAAAAAAUUCCAACAUUUUCGCAUAUCUCAUUUAUAUUAUUUAUUCCAUCCUACCACUACAAUAAAAAAAUGAGUGUCAUAUAUUAAGAUUAACUAUGACAUCAAUUAUUAUAAUUAUUAAUAUAGAAUGGAACUUGAAAAGUUUGUAUUCUAUAUACUAUAAAUUUAUUGAAUGCACUUCAAUUUUAUAACUUGUGCCCCUUUACAAUCCACUUGCAAGCUUCACCUAAAUUCCAUGUAAAUGACAUUGUUUCAGGUUCUAUUACUCAUAUAAAUUUUUCAAUUUAUGAUUAGAUUUAAAAUAUUAUUUAUAUUUAUAUGUGUUGGUCUGUUAUUUAUUUUUUUGCAAUAGUAACAUAGAACAAUUUAUUUAUUUAUUUUAUCUAUUUGAAACAAAAUAUGUGUUUUAACAUAUUUUCCUUAAAAUUGGAACAACAUAGAGUUCACUCUAUUUAACUCAUGAGCUGUUAAUCAAUCUAAUUUAGUGGUGCAAUGCACAGGGUCGUUGGGCUCUCGACAAAAUAGAUCGGGAAAGCAAAUAAACAUUGUCCACUAACAAUCACCGAAUGUAGAUAAAAAGUAUUAACCACUAAAUUAUUGCCUUAGAUCAAAUAAAAAUAUUAAACAAUUUAAAAAUCUUUGUUCGAAGAGAAAAAUGUAUAGCACCAGAUAGAACCCCCAAAACAUAUAUAAUCUAGUCCCUUAAUGUAUCAACCCAUGUCAUAAUAAAUUUUAAACUUCUUUAAGACAAAAUAUCCAAUUCUUUUAUGCAAAGAGGUUCAAAGACAAAACUAAACUUCAAUUUACAAAGAACACCCGAAACAAAUUCACAUAUGCUUCAUUACUUAAGGACAUGGAUAACUCAUUAGUUUCAAUCAACUUCUCUAUAUAUUCUUCAACCCAUUGUGUUUCAAGUUCAGUGUUAAAUUUCUAUUAUGUUAAUAAAUACAUAUUAAUAUGUACAACUUUUACUAUUAUAAUUACUAAUAAUAUAAAUAAAAAGAAACAAUAUACCAAUGAACUUGAAUAUUCUUCUAUCAGGUUUAAAUAAAAUUUAUAGAGACGAAUUCGUAAUCAGGUCAAGNNNNNNNNNNNNNNNNNNNNNNNNNNNNNNNNNNNNNNNNNNNNNNNNNNNNNNNNNNNNNNNNNNNNNNNNNNNNNNNNNNNNNNNNNNNNNNNNNNNNAGCUUCAUCGCAUAUAUGUGAAAGCUCAUGCUCUUCUAUUACGUCAACGUUCGGGUGAAACCCUGUUUCUGUCUCGAGUAGAGAAGGAGGAUUUUGGUUCACAAAACUUUGAUGUCAUUGUUCUUGCCGCCAGCACGAGACCAAAUCCUCACUGCCCUUUUAGUGAGAUCUCUUGAUGGGGUAUUUGUCAUGAUGUUUGGCGAUAAUGAAAGAAGGUUUGAGGUGGAUGGAGAUUCCGGUUGGGGUCUUAGAGGAAGUUGUUGGAAAAUGUCAAUGCUUUAAGCCGACGCUAUGUGGCUUCUGUGUUUGUCACCUCAAUCUAUUCCUCAUCUUCAUUCUCCUUCUUCUUCUUAGUCUUUCGUUUCACCUCUGGGGUUGGGAUUUGAGGCAUGCAAGAAGAUCUCCUCCGCCAUGGCGAGAUCUCUCAUCUGAUCUGCAACAAGGAAGAGGAGAAUAAGCUUCCACAGAUCCGCGAUAGAAAGAAAGGGCUAGAAUGACAUUCAUGGUGAAGACUGAGGGCUGCAUUGGUGGCGAAGAAGGUGAAGACAACGAAAGAGAAUGAAUCUGUGUGAGGAGGUUGUUGCGACAAAGGGGAGAAAAUACCUACUGGUGGUAGUGGGCUUGUGGCGGCUGAGAGUGAUAGAGAGAUUGAGAAAGUGUGGCGAUUAUGUUUGGAGAUGUUGAGAGUGGUUGAGAGAUUGAGGGUGUGUGACUGCUAGGAUUGGGGUUGGGUAUUUGAGGCGCAUGUGGGCUGGGCCUAGAGGAGUAUUAUUUUUUUAAAGACCUAGCUCAGUCGGGCUGGAGGCCAAUCCGAAACAGACCGAUUUAACCACAAGAGACAGGUUUUUGAACCGCACGUCGUUGAAUCAAGUCGACCCACCCAGUUGCACAAAAAAACUCGGCUUUUGCAAGUUCGGGCUAGGCCUGAUGUAUUUGGGCAUCCCAAACAAUUGGUAUAUAAAAACCUCUUAGUAUAUUUUGAUGAUAAUAAGGAUAGAGUUACUGUUCUUCCCAGCUUCUCAGCCACUAGUAUGAGUACAUCUCAGCCGACCAAAAGGCAUGCCUCGAAGCAUCCGUUAUAAGUCCGGGUUAAAUGACUCAAAAGAAGCAUCCUACCAUCAGAGACGUGCAUUUUCGGGGACUAGUCUGCUUCCCAUUACUCAAGCAAGAGGGAAAUUCCUAGCACAAGGAAAGCUCUGGAAAGAUAGGACUUUCCGACACAGUUUUUAGAAUUGUUAGUACAGGCCAGCGCCAUAUUCAAUGAUGGACAUCUUAGGUCAAUCGGCUUAAUUCCGAACAGCUGACACCCCCUGUUGCUCCAUUCUGGAUCCCUGAGUGAUAGAAAGGAUAUAAGCGGGACCACCAAACCUCACCUUGAUGAGUCUAUCGCUUGAUUGAAAGGAUCAGACACUGUCCCCCACUUUUCACAGUAGAACGAAAGAAUUAUAUUCUGAAACCAACAAAUCAAUGAAGGGCUCGAAGGACCACCCCCCUCACACUCACUCUGACCCUAUAAAUACAGGUUAUAUCAUUCAUUUACAUAGCAUGAUAUUCAUUAUUAAUAUUUACACUUAAGUUCUAACUGAGUCUCUGAGAUUGUCUCUCAACUCAAACACUGACUUGAUCUUUCACUAGCAAAUCUUCUCCACUCAUUUGAUUGGGAACUCCCACCUGGAAUUGACAAGGAANNNNNNNNNNNNNNNNNNNNNNNNNNNNNNNNNNNNNNNNNNNNNNNNNNNNNNNNNNNNNNNNNNNNNNNNNNNNNNNNNNNNNNNNNNNNNNNNNNNNGUCUCUUUUACUGCUUUCUUCUAUAUUCAAAAUCACAAAAACAAUUUAUCAAACAUCUUUGUAUCCGCUCAGAUCAAUGUUUAACUGGUAGAACUAAUGUUCACACAAUUCCUGAGGACGAUAAACCCGUAUCUGCUUUGCUAUUAUUGAAUCAUAGGGGUUUAGUUCCAAUGCAGUACUAACAAGGAAAAAACCUUUAUCAAAUUUGGGGAAAUGUCAUAUGGCACGAAACGAAAUUCGUUUGUGUCCUUUAUGUGAUAUAUAAAUAAAUCUGAUUUUUUUUUGAAAUGUAUAAAUAAAUCUGAUUGGAUGUAGCUUAAUUCGUUGAAUUCGUUGCCUAAUCUUUUCGGGCCAUAUAUCUCACUACUCUAUUAUUUGGCUUACCUAAAUAAAUAAAUAAAUCAAGCAAGGCUUUGACAUGGUGCAGAUUUGGCGAUAGUGUGGCGCUAACAUUGUGAUAUUGUAAUCGUUUUCAACCUUCGAAUUUGGGGACCAACGAAAUUUUUUAAGGAGACUCUUUCUCACUUUACCAUCCUUUCGAGCAUGUGUACAACCUCGUUUUUUCAAAAAAUAAAUGACCGCAAAUGAAGUUUUUGAACAGCUUGCCAAAUUUACUCAUGCAAGGAAAACACAAUGGCCAAUUUCUGGCUAAACUUAACCAAGAGCGCAAGAAGCUGGGGAAUCUUGCUAUAAUGCCAAAUGGAUCAAAAAUCUAAAGAAAAACAUGGGAAAGCACUCUCGUAGGUAUUUGCUUCAAGAUUUUAGAUGAUGAACACAUACACAUAAUACCCGCUAGGAGCAUAUAAUUAUUCAAAAAAAAACAAUAAGAUGGGUAGUGGAUACUACCAAUCCAUAUGCACCUUAUUAGUCAAACCAUGCGUAUGCGUGCUUGGAGGUGGUGUUCUACCUCAAUAAAAUGUUCAUGAUGGGAUUCUAUAUUAUUCGUUCUUGGCACAAGGCAAAAUAAAUUUCUGGGCAUACUAAUCAGGUUCUCUUGGUGCCCACAUUUUUCUUNNNNNNNNNNNNNNNNNNNNNNNNNNNNNNNNNNNNNNNNNNNNNNNNNNNNNNNNNNNNNNNNNNNNNNNNNNNNNNNNNNNNNNNNNNNNNNNNNNNNUCGAUAAAUGUUUUCUUGUUUAGUGCAGAAUGACUUCCCCAAGACUGUAGCACUCUUUUUCCUUGCUUGUCCCUCUGGGUUUUUCCAAGUAAGGUUUUAAUGAGGCUCUCUCUUGGGGCUUCGUUCUGUCAUUCUGGGGGUUGGUGGUGGGUUUUAAGCACAGCUCAGGUUGUUUUUGUCUGCUUAAACUUGUCAGGUUCAGUUUGUAUUUGGCUCUUGCCUAUAGCUGCUUUGGUUUAGGCUCUUAUUAAUAAUAUACUUUUAAUUUUCAAAAAAAAAAAUUCAUUAUGAAAAUGAUAACUUGUGUGGUUUUUUGAGCGUUUUGACUAUAAUAUUUAUAUAUUUAUUUUUCGGAGAAUUUUACUGAGAAAAAAAUCCCAUAAAGUAUCAAUGAUGUGGUAAGAUACUAUACAUGGCAAGAUUUUGUGGACCACACCUAGGGUGUGGGUGCACAACAUAUUCCUUGGGGAGGAAGGAAGAAUUACUUGAUUAAUUGGGAUAUUGUUUGAAAAUAAAAUGAUUUAAUUCAUUUUAAUCAAAUAAGAUGAUAGUCAAAAUAGGAUAGCUCAAGUGGUCGGAGUUGAGAGAUAUAUGAGUUGGGUAGGAGGAGGUUUAGGGUUCGAUUCCUGGCAGGUGCAAUUUUUUUUUCCGAUGUACAAAAAAAAUUCAAAUAAGGUGAUAAGGAGAAAUUUAAAAUUUAAGAUAGAGGUUUAGUUAGUGGAAAUUUUUACCUAAAGAUAUUUAAGAUCAAAUUAAGUAUCUAUUUUAUUUCAAGAGAUAAUUCCUAAUAUUUGAAUUUAUUUUACAAUAUUAAGGUUCUAGCUCAGUCCAUAAUCUUUUAACUUAAAGAUUACGAAAAUAACUAUUAGAGAUUAAGCAGAAGAUUUUCCGCUUGAUAAGAGGAGUGGCACACAUAACAUAGAGGGGGUUGGAAAAUUCUCUAGUGAUCAAAAAAUUAUUUGGAAAAUUUCUCACUCUCUCACACAUAUACUCAACGUCUCUCUCUCUUGCUCUUAAGAAGAAAAUUCCUUUAUUCUUAUUUUGCUUCAAACAACAAGGUAGGCUAGGGUUCUUAUCCCUUUGAGUUUCUUCUAUGCUCAUCUCCAUGUCUUUUCUACUUUUUCUUUUCUUUUUGGAAAGCUUGUUUAGAAAAUGUUUUCUUUUGGUGAAAAGAGUUUCUUUUGAUAAGGUUGCUCGUCUUUGGUUUUUUUUUAAGGUGUUGUUUGUUGUUUGGCUGGAAGCAUGUUGUGGUACUUUGUAGGUCUUUUUGGUUGGAGUCUUAUUUGGUGUUGCAUGGAUUUUUCGGGGCUUUUCCAUUCCUUAGGUUUUAUAUCUUUUGUGGUUGGGUUUUUAUUCAAUAUGUGUUGUAGAUUGUGACUGAUGGAGCUUUGCACUUUAAAAUCUUUUUCAAGAUUGUAUUUUUAUCUAUUAAUAUCAUUUUACUUUCUAAAAAAAAGUUGGGAAGUUUUGGGAGUUUUUACAUCUUGUUGAAGUUGUUUCAAUAUAUAGAGGCUGCAGCCUAUACACUCUUUUUUCGGGGUUGGUGUUGUGUUGAAUACUUGUAUAUGAUUAACAAAUCCUAGUUUUUGAAUAGGGGUUGAAAUUGGAAGUUUUGAAAGUAUAAGAACCUUUUUUAUAAAUAGCCUAAAUAGAUAAAAGGUCGAGGGUUAAUUUAAGUUUUUAGGGGACAAAGUCUAAAUAAUCAAAUAUUAGGGUUUUGUUUGCAAAUUUAUUUGUCUAGUGUGUUUUGACCCUUUCUCGAGGCCUUCCAUAUGGUUCUAGUCUUGUUCUUGGCUUAGUUGAUAACUUAAUUACUCACAUGUUGUGAAGGUUCAAUUAGUGGGGUUCUUGAGGUUCUAGGACAUGCUUUUGGGAAAGAAAGCGACAAAGGUGAGGGCACUUCCGUCUUAGAGUGUCUAUGUGAUUGUUGUGUGCAAUGUGUUUGAUUCGUGAUUAUGUUAUGUUAUAUGUUUGUCUAAUUGCAUGAUGAUAACAUGAUAUUGUUGUAUGUUGAGAUGAUUGUGAUCUAUGAUGUCGAUUUUAAUCUAUGCUAAAACAUGUGAUGUUAUGCUAUGAUAUUUUGAUGAUAUGCAUAACAUCACAUUCACAUGGGGAAGAGUUGAUAAAAUGAAUCAAAAAAUGAAGGAAGAUGAUUGUUGGUAUGUUUUGAAGCAAAUAAUAAUUACCAUUUAAAUUAGUAAAUUAGUGUUGGUAUUCACCCCUCUUUAAAAAAAGGAAUUGUUAUUCGGACCCCCCGACAGUUAUUUAGACCAUGUUAAAUUCGUAAAAUCCACAAAAGCCCUUUAUAAAGUUUUUUUCGCUCGCACUGUGAAAGUGCGACCAAAACGCAUGUGGAAAGUGCGUCCAGGUGCGUCCAUCACACACUUUCAACGUGCGUAUUGGUCGCACUUUUACAGUGCGACCAACUUCUUUGAAGGUACUAAGAUUUGUGUAAUUUAGACAAAUUCCUUCAUCUGGUAUUUUAUUUUGAAUUUCAAACAUUUUUUAUUACACCAUAAAUCUCCAUAUAUUCUAACUUGAUUUACCGGGAUCUCAUNNNNNNNNNNNNNNNNNNNNNNNNNNNNNNNNNNNNNNNNNNNNNNNNNNNNNNNNNNNNNNNNNNNNNNNNNNNNNNNNNNNNNNNNNNNNNNNNNNNNAGAUAAGCAUUGGAGAAGAUGCAGAUGAGAAAGGGGGCAAAUGGGGAAGAGGUGAAGAUCACAUAAGAUUGGUAAUCUGCAGCAGAGAUAGUCCGUACCUGUUAGCUACCAUGUUUCGUAUCUUCUGUGUAGUUACCGGAAAAACCGACCCAAACCCGACCCGUGACCCGGCUCUUGCGGGUUUUCUCUUAUGAACAGUGGCCAAUUCCCUCUAGCUUUAGUAAGUUAUAGAUUCUCUUGCAAAGAAAAUACAGAAUAUCCAGUUCAAAUGUGUUGUAGCCUAAUUUUGCAAUGCAAGGAAACUUUCUUGUAGUGAAAAAACACCAUUUUUACAGUGAAGAAAUAUAUAGAUGGUUUUUAAACUAAACCAACUAUACCCUUAACUUGAUAGACAAAGUAAAGAGAUUCAUACAAAUAUAUUGAGAUUAAGUUACUCACAGCAUUAAACUUUGUCAUCCAUUUUUCAUAGCUAGCCUUGCCAACCUAAUUGAUUUAACAGUUCUCUUUGAAAUCCAAGGCAAUAAAGCUCUUCAAUUGACAUAAUCCUGAAGGGAACCCACAACCUAUUAAUAUGAUAGCAGAUAGUAAACUCGUAAGUUAGUUCGCUAGCUAAUAUAUACCUUAUUGAGGAGUCAUGCAAGGGUGUGGGAUAUGAACCCUCCAUACUAUCAAUAUCUUUUCUGGCACAACAGCGUAAAUCAUAUCGCCAGAUGCAAGGUGACCCAUAAUUUCAGCAACCUAUUUCCCAAAACAGCACAUUCUAGAGUCCAGACGAACACUUAAGAAGGAAAUUCAGAGGUCAAAUUGAUAAAAUGACAAAAACAAAAAGAAAUCAUCAGAAUUAAUACUGGCAUACCCUUCUUGACAACCUUCAAUAGUAUUCUUCUGCAUAACAACAUCUUUCUCAAACUCCUGUUUGCCACCUGCUCCAGUCAAAAUACCAAUUACAUAUGCAUCGCUAAUAAAACACCAUUAGACAACUGUAUAUCAGGGACCAUACAAACUUGGUAUAAACCUCAAUUAAUAAUCAACUAUAACAAUAAAAAACGAAGCAAAAAUUAAGAAAUAAACGACCUAAAUCAUAAUAAAAAAUUUAAAAAGGUACUAUUAAAGAUAGAUAAAAACUAUCAAAAUCUAGCAAAGCACAAUAAAAACUCAUAAAAUCCUAAAUUAAAUAAAAAUCCGAAAAUUCAAUAAAAAUACGAUAAAAAUUAAUUAACACUCUUCAGGGAAUAUGUAACUAUAUGGUUUAAAACUUAUGAAAGGUGCUGGUAUACUGGCGGUAUGUUUUUCACGGGAAUUGAAAACCUUUUACCAUGUACAUUAUGAGAGGGAAGGUAACGUUUGGCACAAAGAAAACUUAUAUAAGAACAAAGAGGGAAAUAUUGAAUGGUAACAUAUUAACCAUGUAAUCAAUAUUUUAAUUGAAAACAUAAACGGGAUGCCAAUCAUAAAUAGAUAAAUAUUUUUAAUUUAAAUUCACUUUAAAUCUUUUGAAAUAUUAAUAAAAUAUACAACAAAAAGUUCAUAUGCAAACAAAUAAAUGUUCUCAAGAUUUAGCUUAAGCAAAUAAGGGACCAUAAAAUUCUAAAGAAAAUUCACCAUUCCAGAAAAAAAAAAUGCAACCUAGCAAUAGGAUUUGGCAAUUCCAAAUUAACACUAACCUAUAGGUAUUCAGUUGUAGAAGAAUCCCACCAAAACUAUGAAAAAAUCUAAAUUGCAAGGUGAAAUGAAUCACACUACUUUUCCACAUACCUGGAUUAAUUAAAAAAUAUAUAUUUUCUAUUGUUUUAUAUGCACAAUAUUUUUUUAUUGAUCUCAAGUUAAUUAUAUUCUCAUAAAAAAAUACCUUUUUAAAUUUUAGAUUUGAUUAGGAUUUAGAUUGUUUAUUUCUUGAUUUUAUCUUAAUUUAUUUUUAAUUUAUUUCUAGAGUAUUAAUUAAAUUUUAUGGUAUUUUUAGUGAAUUUUUCUGAUUUUUAUUUUAUAUGCACAAUAUUUUUUUUAUUGAUCUCACCUUGCGUAUGUUAGUCACUAAGACUAUGUUUGUAUAAAUGUUCACAUACAUUCAAAUGCACCUAUAUCUCAAUCUUUGUUAGUAGUACAUGCCUCAAAUUAAAGUACGUACUUAUGGCCAUUAACCUUAAGAUUUGGAUAACACACUGCAGAAAGAUCUGGUUAACCUAAUUCAUAAGCUUACAACAUCAAAGAAACUUUUAAUCCCCCCUUAAAAAGUGAGAACAGAUGGAAAACAAUUCACCUUUCAUGACCAGUGAGAACAGAUAAAUGUUGAAAUAACAUACAUAACAAUGAAAAAUAAAUAAAUGGGAUGUUCAUCUAUCAAAUGUUAAUUUUUUUUAUUCAACCCAAACCCCAUUUAUUACCUUGGAACCUUUUCCAAAAACAAUUUUAUUUUGUGGGAAAACCUUUAGAAAGGGGGUUUAAAAAAACAUUGUGAAAUUUGGGGGGGAAAACCAAAAAAAGAACACACACUUUUUUUUUGGGAAACCUCUUCCCCUUGGGGAAAAAGAAAAUUCCAUUUUAAAAAAAUUUUGGGAAAGGGAAAAGAGAAAAGGGGGACCCUUCCCCCAAAGAAGGAAAUAUUUGGAAGGGGGAAAAAAAAUGGGAAAUAUUGGCCCCUUUUUGUGAACUCUUUUUUGGAGGGUGGAAUAAAAAACAAAAUUCCUUUAAAGAUCCUUACCAAAAAGGGCCCCCAAAAAGUCAAUUUGGUUUUUUUUACCUUACCCUUAAGAACCAAAAGAGAAGCCCAUAUUUUUUCCUCAAUCCAAUCUUAUAAACCUUCUUUUUUCUUUGCUUAAAAGACCCUUCCAUUAAGUUUUAAAAUUAAUGGGUUCAAAAUCCAUUAACCAAAAUUUCGGCGAAUACCUUCUUUUUUUNNNNNNNNNNNNNNNNNNNNNNNNNNNNNNNNNNNNNNNNNNNNNNNNNNNNNNNNNNNNNNNNNNNNNNNNNNNNNNNNNNNNNNNNNNNNNNNNNNNNAACCCAUCCUCCAUAUGUUUUGCAUAAUUUGAGAUUUGGUUAACCAAUUUUUUUUAACCAUAAAAAAAAUUCUCAAUUGUGAUGGGGAUAAAUUUAUAAUGAAAAAUUUAAUUGAAGUGAAGGUCCAUGUUGUUUUUGAAGCAUAUAUGAUUUGAGGUUUGCCAUGGUUGAGAUGAAGAAGGGAGAAAUAGAGAAAAUUGUGUGAGUAUUUGGAGAUAGAGAACGUAUGAAGGUUUUUUUUUUGCUCUUCUAACCCUUUUUAUUUUCUAAUAUAGAUUGAUAUUGAUACUCUAUAUAAAAAACAAUAUUUUUUAGGAAGAUUUUUUUAACAGAAACUAUCUAACAAAGAUACAUAAAAACAAACAACCUAAAUCCUAAUCAAAUCUAAAAUUUAAAAAGGUACUAAAUAAAUAUAGAUAAAAACUAUCAAAAUCUAGCAAAUCACAAUAAAAACUCAUAAAAUUCUGAAUUAAUUAAAAAUCCGAAAAUUCAAUAAAAAUACCAUAAAAAUUAAUUAAUGCUCUAAAAAUAAAUUAAGAUUAAAUCAAGAAAUAAACAACCUAAAUCCUAAUCAAAUCUAAAAUUUAAUGUGACAAAUAGGGCCAAGGUGGAAAAGCUGAUGUGUAAAUUAUUAAAUGAGAAUUAAUAGGUGGAAAAGCUGACGUGUAAAUAAUUAAGUGAGAAUUAAUCUCGGAGCGACACGUCACUAACUUGGCCUGUGAGAGCGACACGUCAUGCUAGAAGUUCUUCUUUUCUAAUAUAUAUAGAUUCGUACGUAUGAUUCCAGGAAAAUUAUGUGGAAGUAAUUAGCUUUCUUAGCAUGUGUAUAUUGCAGACAUGUUCUAUGAAGACAAGGAAAAGAAAUUGAUGUUUUGGCAUAUAUGGGUAAUUUAAUUUCUAUCACAAAUAUUUAUGAAGGAUGAUAAUGAGAGACUUCAAAAGGUCCAAUUAUUGCACCAUCUUUAUGCAUGCGGACGAAACACAAAAGUAUGGAUUUCGUAAUCCUUUCGUUCAUAUUUAUCUGUCCAUUUUAAGAAAAAUAAUUUAUUUAUAUUUAACUGUCCAUUUAGCAUUUCAAGAGAGCAUUAAAUGAUGUUUUUCCAAGAAAUGACAUUUCAUGGACAAUAAAUAAUGAAAGAUAAAGUACAAUUUAAAGGGUGAAAAAGGAAAACAAAUAAUAUUUUUCUGAAAAUCAACAAAAUUAAUUGCACUCCUUAAUAUGUGUGUUCUUAUCUCUUUGGACAGUUAAAUAAGAACGGAGGAGUAUCUAAUAAUGUUUAAGCCUUUUAGGACCACCAACAAAUAUGUAUCUACCAAAUAGCUAAGCUCUUCAAUGCAGGUUUCGAUUCUUAAGUGGUGUGUAUGAAAAAUAAAUUGUUAAAACUAUUUAUUUAAUGUGAUUUUUGAGUUUCGAAAAAAUUAGUGCAAUAGCUGUCAGCCAUAAAAUUUAUUGAGAAAAUUAAAGAAAGAUAACGGAACAAGACCCAAAACGAUAAAACAACCCACCAAACCAACAACCAGCCCUCUCAAAAAGCCAACCAAAGAAAGAAGAAGCACCCCGAGCCAACUAAUCACAAUUAAAGAUUAGGAUGAUUAGCACUAAUUUGCUCUAUUAAACCCUUAUAUACAUCGCCAUGAUUACCACCUCAUACGCUUACUAAAAAGCAAUGUUUGCGGGCUCUAAUCAUGACUUUGGACUCCUUUCAAUUGGAUUAAAAUGAAACUCACUUGCAAUCAGACUCUUUGCCUUAUUCUUGCUACCUUUAGGAUGUCCCUUCUUCAAUCUACCCACUGGCGUGCUACCACCUUGCUUCUUAGGAGGCCUCCCCUCUUCGGCUUAGUCAAUUUAGGAGAUGAUUGGACCUCCAUAACCUCACCAUCAUAAAUAUUUGUAAAUUACUAUUAAACAUUUGUAAAUUAGCCAUUUCCCCAAAUGAAGUAUAUGAUUCCACACAUAAUCUUCUUUUGGUGGUGUGAAACUGAAGCUAUUUCUAUCAUUGAUUUUUUCUUUUUUUUUCUUCCUUCUCAAGCUAUUCGGUCAAUGUUAUUUGUUUCUUUAUUAUCCAAAUCAGCGUCUUUUGGGCUUGUGUCCAAAUUACAUAGCUAUAUGGAUAUGGAUAUGGAUAUGGCAAAAGACUAUAAUCAUAAAGGACCAAACUAGGGCCAAGAUGCUUACAUAGCUAGUUGGAUAUGGAUGUGCGGAUGAGAAGAGGAGAAGGUUGAUCCAGAAUAGUAUUUUGUUUUACUUCUCUGUUUGUUGUGUCCUUAGCUGGUUUUAGUUGUAGCUUUUAAGAAGCUUUAUGACUUGGUGAGUUUCCAAAAUAUUCCCACCUUCCUCUGUCUGUUUCACGUGGGAAUCGGUUGGAAACUUUAACUUGGUAUUGGUUUGCUCUAGGCGGUCCCCUAUUGUCUUUUGUUAUUUGUUUUGCCUUGUAGCGUAAAGUCAAUCCGGCCUUGUGCCCCUUUGUAAUUGGACUUAGGUCCUUUUCUUGAAUCUAAGUUCAUUUGACAAAAAAAAAAUGGAUGUGGGGCACAUAAGGGCAGGGGGACUUGGGGGAAAUUUAAUACAAUAAUAUACUACCAUAUCAAUGGUAUAUAGGUUGAAAAUGGCUCUCGGACCCAUCGGCUAAAAAUUCUUAUAAUAAUUCUUAUAAUAGUAGGUAAAAUUUACUGAAACAAUAUGAGGUUGGAUAUGAUUAAAUACUCGUAAAAAAUAGUGGGUACGGAUUAAGUAGAUAGGAGUAAUAUAGUACCCAUCCAGCCUCAUAUUCGUACACACUUUAUUAACUAUUUUGAUUUAUAUAUCUACACACUUAAUAGUAUUUUAACAAACUUAAUUAUAGUUACAAAUUUCUAACUUUUUUUUAAAUAAGUGGUGUCGUAAUAUUAUAUAUACCUUCACAAAACAUAUUAUAUUUAGUGUUGCUAAUUUACUAAGCUUAUUUGUGAAAUAAGUAAAUAAUUAACCUAUACUAUAUUAACAUGUACUAAUCUAAAUUAUAAAUUUAAAGUUAUAAUAUUCUCACUCACUCUUAUUAACAAUAUCUAUACUUAAUUGAAUGAUUUAAUUUUUUAAAUAUUUGGAUAGCCUUUUAUAUUUUUAAUUAAUAUUUGUUUAUGUUGAAAAAUAAAAAUAGUAAAAAUAAUGUUUUAGUUAACUAAAUUGCGAGUAUAGUACGAGUAUGAGCAUAUAGAUACCCAAAGAGUACGGGCCUGGGCGUUUAAGUUGCUACCAACGUGGGUAUGGAGACGAGCACGUGUAGCUUUUGAUAAUGCGGGUGUGAGUAGCGUACUCAGACCUACCCUUGUCAUCCCUGUAGUAUAUUUAGAAAGAGCAGUAUAGUCCUAAUAAAUCUGCUUCUCCCACUACCAAGGUAGAUCUGCCCCUGCUUUUAUAUCGUGGUGGUGAUUGGAAUUUGUGAGGUGUGGGUGGUUUUGGAGGAAGAGAAAGAAGGGUCGGGGAAAACGAAGAGGAAGAAAGGGGAAGACGAAGAGGAAGAAGCGAGAUCGGAUGUGAAUAACUAAAUCAUUUUCGAGGCUUUAAUUUAAAACGGAUGUGAAACGCUGACUAGACUUGUCACUGGAAUUGUCAACUAGUUAAAAUUGAUGAUAAAAAAGAUAAAAGGACCUAAUUUUAUUAAUUUAAAAGUUAUUUUUUAAGAACCCAAUUUAAUUUCUCAUACAAAAUUAGGAAUUUAAAACAUAUUUAAACUUAUUGUUUAACCCUCUGACAUUCACAUAUAAGAAACAUAAUAAAGUUAGGUUAACAAUCUAUUUUCACCUCCACCAUAGAUAAAAAAGAAGAUAAUAAGUGAUAUAAUUUGUGAUGUGAUGAGAAAUGUAAAGAAAAAUAAAAUGAAAAAGAAUAAUUAUAUCUUCACAUUUCAUUUUUGAGGUGUGAAGAUGUGGAGGAAGAGAGAGAUAGGAAAAAAAGAGAGAGAAAGUAAAGAUGUGAUAUAUAAUUUGAUUGAUAGAGAAAAGAAAAGUAAUAAAAAAAUAAAAGUGAAAAAGGAAUGGAGAUGUGUAUAUAUCAUAACUCAUCAGAUAUUGAUAAUGGAGAGUCGAAUUCAUGGACCAUUUUUGUACGUGUCCGAACAGAUCUUGAUGAUAAGUUUUGAAACAAGAGCCGUAAAGUGGUGGCUGUGUCAUGUGAGUGUGCCUCACAUCCAUUACCAGUCACAUGCAGAAAUUUGCGUUUGAAAAUAUUUAUCAAUCUGCAUCUGGUAUCUUUAUCAAUGUGCCUUCUUUAAUUUGUACUCUUCUUUUGCUAUUUAUUUACUAGGAUGUAUCACAACAAUUUAGAUAUAUAAUAAGGGGAGUGAUAAUUAGAAACUAAAUAGAAGUAAGCACAAGGAUCAAGUAAAAUUGAGUAGAAGUUCAAAGAUUAUUUGACCGAAGGAGUAUAUAUCCGAGGGGAGUAAUCAUUUAUAACCAUUUUAUUAGAUUAUCUCGUAUAUUUAUAUAAGUAUGAAUUAUUUGGCUUAAAUUUUAAAUUUAUAAAUUCAAGUUCGCUAUCAUAAAAAUGGAGAGAUCGAUAGGUCUGAGUAGUUGGCAAGGUUAUUUAUCAUACGGUUUUGGAUUAAGAUCAUCAGUUUCAGGGUUGAAAAACAUAAAAUCACCAGGUUUGCUACCGUUCGUGCUCUAACUACGGGCUAGCGGGUUUGGUUUUGUCGGAUGAUGGUUUUGUCGGGUGGGUUCGCACGGUUUGUCAAUCCUGAAAAUUAUUAAAAAAAAAAAGAAAAAGAAGAUGAAAGAAACAAAAUCAUAUUCCAUACAGCACAACGCAGAAAAAUCUUAACAAAAUGAAAAAGAAAUGCUAAAAAACCCAACUAGAAGAGGGGUAUAUAUCAAAUUCCAUAGGAGAUGAAGCUUCAUCGCAUAUAUGGUGGGAACCUCAUGCCUCCUCUUAUACACUCAACGGUUCCGGGGAGACCCCUGCUCUUUCUAUCGAAGGAAGAGAGGGAGGAUUUUGUGUUCCCAAACCUUUGAGGCAUUGUUCUUGCCGCAGCACCGAGAACAAANNNNNNNNNNNNNNNNNNNNNNNNNNNNNNNNNNNNNNNNNNNNNNNNNNNNNNNNNNNNNNNNNNNNNNNNNNNNNNNNNNNNNNNNNNNNNNNNNNNNUCUCUGGGUGGGGAAAUAUUUUUCAAAACACCCCCUUUUUUAAUUGGUUGGCCCCCCUUUUCCCCAAUUUGUGUUUUUCCCCUGUGGGGCAAAAAAUGUAAAUGGGUGAAAUGGGUGGGGAACCACCCUCCAAAAGUUCUCCCUUGACAAUUGCUUAUAAGAUAAGGAAAGCCUUUCAAUAUCAUCUUCACUUAUAAAUCUUUGUCACCAAACAAGUCUCUGAUUUCCCUCUGAACCUUACUCAUCACUCUAGCAUUCUUCAAUAGUGCUGUCAUGGCCCAAACUACUAUGGCUGAGCUAGUGUCUGUUCCUGCUAUAAAGAUGUUCUGCACAUAUAUGCAUGACAUAGUUAAAUACACAAAUAAAAUUAAGGGCAAUUAAGGAGGUUCCUCAUUCUUUAUCCCGCUAAUAAAAUUUUAACAUAUCAAUUAAAGAUUAAACCACCAUGUGAGUUUGUAACGAUCCAACUCGGGACUGUCUAGCGUCCACUAUCUAUUCGGGUAAUGCAUGCAAACACUGCUACCAAAUUGUUGCGAAUUAGCUACAAGAAUAUCAAAUUCGCAAUUAAUUUUUGAACAAUUAUUUUACAACUAUUCUUUCAAGUUACAAUGGUUACAAAUUCCAUGUAUAAGCACUAUCUCGAUAACAUCAUCUGAAUAAGUGAUAGACAUUAGACAAAGCGGUCCAACUAAUCUCACUUUUUAAUUAAUAUGGAAAGAUUUCACUCUGAUAGGAAAUUAAUUGAGACACCGUAAUGAACAUGGCAAGAUUUUGAUUCAUAAUUUUAUAAUUAAUCACUAAUCAUGUUCUUUAAAUUAUGGAUUGCAUAAUGCAUAUAUUCAACAAACAUGCAUUUGAAGUUAGAAAUGGAUAGAAGAGAAAAAAGUAAUAGAUGUGAUAUAUGAUGAAAGAAAAAUAUUGGGGAAAAAUUAGAUAUUUGUUAAAAGUAUGUAUGCCUGGUAUCAUUACAGUUAAAUUAAGGACUAUUAAGAAGGUGCGUUACUUACCAUAAGAAUAGCUUUUAUAUGGUCGGGAGUAAGAUCAAAAGAGAAUGAGUGGUGAUUCAUCAUCUGCACAAGAAUAUCAAUGAUAUAUGGAACUUCUUGGUCAUUGGUUUGAGGCCUUGUUGGAUUCAUGUGGUCAUGGAUGACUCGUUCAUAGAUCAAAUCUAACUCCUUGAAGGUUUUGUCUAGCCUCCUCAGAGUUCCUCUAAGUCUAUCAACCCACCCCAUCAAUGGAAAGUGAUCAGAAAAGUAAAAUUCUGUCAACAAAGCUUGAGCCUCAUUGAGAAGUACCUGCAAUCUACUCUUCUUUUGGUCAUUUCCUAUUUCCAAUUCUUCCUCAUAAUCAUAGCCGUACUUUCUCCCAAAAGCUAUCCUGCAUAUUAGGGAAUUUGUGAAAGACAUCAAUGUUUCAGUCAAGUUCACUGCUUUUUCUGAAGAAUCAUAUUUUGCUAUUUUCUGAAUCAUUUGGGAAACUUCAUUUUCUCUGAUGUUACUAAAGGAUUGGAGGCGUUGAGAGCUGAAAAGGUGGAGGGCACAGAGUUUUUUCAUUUCUCUCCAAUAAGGGCCAUAAGGUGCAAAACCCAAGUCCAAGCCAUUGUAAGACAAUUUCCUCAUGCCAAGGAAAGGUGGUCUGCUUGCAAAUUUGAGGUCAUGGGUUUUCAAAACUUCUUUGGCCAUUUUUGCUGAGGAAACCACCAAACAUGGCACAGAGCCAAGGUGCAAUAUCAUGAGAGGUCCGUAACGUUUGGAGAGUUUCCAUAAACAGCGAUGCAGUGAUGAGCUAUCAAGUUGGUGUAUAUUGCCGAUUAGAGGAAGGGUUGGAGGGCCAGGUGGAAGAGUUGCUCUUGUACCAUAUGUUCUGUAUUUGUGGAUGAUGAAUAGAAUGGCGAUAGAUAAUAAAGAAAGAAGAAAAAGCCCCCCCAUGAUACAAGCUUGCAAAUUGCUCAUCUUUCUUCCAAUUUUAUAGAAGGGGAGAAAAGUGAUAGUUACACAUCACAUUAGGUGUACACGUACACUUGAAAAGGAAGGAAAGUAUACAUGCUCUUCCUAUAGAUUUGGAUCCAUUCAAUUGUAAAAAAAAAUUGAUCAUGUGGAAGUUUCACCACCUCACCAAUUAUUAUUAUGUGUUUAAUAAUUGAAUAAAUAAAUGAGAAUUAAAUCAAUGAUGUAAUGAUGAAAUUUGACAUGAUCAAUUUUUUUUUAUAAUUAGAGGAUUCUGAUUUCGAUCGAUAUAUAUUAUGAUUUUAAAAAUAUGAGGGGUAGAAACAUCGACAAAAAUAAAGUAGUAGUAGAAUUUGCACAAACUUAAAACAUCAGGGACAAAAAAUACUUUUUAGCCUAAUAUAUAAUAUAUGAUUAUUUUUCUUACUACUCCCCCUUUUAGUUUCUACUUAUAACUCCCCAUUUCUUGUCAACACCAAAAAGUUGUGUAAAAUCUGGGGAUGAGCAGAUGCAAACAAAUCACUGAAAUUAACAUAUGAAAAAGUAACUAUAUAUUCGGAAAUAUUUAUAUUACAUUAUUAUGUUUAUAAUAUUUUAGAGAUGAUUAUGUUAUAUAGAGACAUGAAUAUUUUAAAUUUGGAGUUGUCUAAAUGAUCUAUGUAGGAUACUAACCCACAACUCAAAGCACCAAUAAAUUUUUUUAUAAAUAAAUUAAUAAUUAAAAUAUAAAAAUUCUAACGUACUACAUAUUUUCAAUGUGAUUGAAUGAUAAAUCAUUUAACUUAAUUUUUUUAUGAAUCAUUUAGAAAACCUACCGCUGAGUUGAUUUUCUUAUACCACAACCAUAAACAAAAUAACAAUAAAUGAAAGAAGAAUACAAAGAAGCAGAUUGGUAAAGAUACGAAGCGCAUAUUGAUAAGAUACCAGACACAAAUGACUACAUGUGAGGCACACAAUCAUCACGUUUCGUUAUGGCUCUCUUCCAAAGCGAUGUAAUUCAAACUUAUCAUCAUGAUCUAUUCGGACACGUACAGAAAUGGUCCAUGUUGAACUCUCCAAUGUCCAUAUCUGAUAAAAAUACUAUUAUAUUUAUUUUAGGCUUAAAUACUCUGAAAGUCUCUGAAAUUAUCUCUCGUAUGAAAAUAAGAGUGGAAUAUAAGGUACAAUACAUGAUGGGUCUUGCACCGGUGCCAUAUAGGUGAGGGCCAAUGAAAUUAAAGCAUCUGUCAAGUGGGGAAACUGGAAACCGUCUGUUUAUGUUAAUUGAAAAUUUAUUGUAUUCGAAAUAAAAUAUGUAAAUGACACUUGCACCCCUGUUUUUCUCCCUCAAUGCUUGAAGAAAGAUUCAACCUUCUUCACUGGCAAAUCUCGCUGCCGCGGCCAUCUCAUUCUCUGGUAAUAUUUUAGCAUCUGGAUUUUGCACUUGAUAAAUUAACUUGAUUGUGAAAAAAACUUGCAGCAGAUCCGAAUUCAACCCAGACGAAAUAAACUGACCAAAGAAUCUAUUAAUGACCCAGAAAAUAUUCAACCCAGACGCACCGAAUGCUCUGAACUCUAAAGUUCAACUUGUCACUCCUCCCUUCACAUUUCUUAGAUUCACCAAGUAAAACAAAAAGGGAGAAUCUAAAUUGUUUAUGCAGUUAGUUUCUCUCAAACCUUUUCUGCAGGCCCGUUGGAAUUGGACAUGGCAUCUUAGAGGUCAAGUGUUGCUCAAAUUCAAAGAGCAAAGCAACCCCAUCUUUUGUCCAAACAAAGAAACGGUGCUUGAGAAUUGAGAUGCAGUACCCUUUACUCAGAUCAAGAUAAUUCACCGGUUUCUCCCCAAUGCCUGAAUUUGUGGCACCGCUUGUGGCUCGUGGGAUCGAUGAUGGUGGCGGUGGUCAUCGACAUCUCGGUGACUCCGAUGGUGGCGUUGAGUGUCGAUCUCGAAUCUGGAUGGGGAGAGUCAAAGUGAGACAACUAAUUUCAGAUUUUGGAGAGGACAUUCCUAUUAAUCGUCACAUCAUCGCCACAGGAACAGAAGGGGGAUUCAUUUCCCUCGUUUGAACGAUGAUCCACCAUGAACUCCAGAACCCGCAAACCCUAGAAUAAAAGUUCUGGUCAUUUCUUAAAAAAAAAACCUCCAUUGGUGCACGCAAACCCACCUUGAAGAUGCAAAUGCAAAGCAAGGUCGAAUUUCGUGAUGGUGGCGAUUCGCACCCAGAUCCGGGGCUUUCGUGUUGGUUUGAUGCAAAGCGGAGAUGAGAGUUGGAUUGGGUGGCGCAAGGCUGCGGUGGUGGGCUGUUAAGUUUGGUGGAUUUUUUUGGAGUGGGGCUGGUUGGUUCUUGUGUGGUGGUUGGAUUGCUGUUUCUGAAUUCUGGCACGGCGCAGUAAUAGCUCUAUCUGGGUUUUUGGGAUGAGUAUGGUGGGUGAGGGAGGGAGAUGGAGGUGGGGAAGGGGGAGGUGCAGUGUAGGACAAAGGUGGAAGAUGGGAAGGAUAUAAGGAUAAUUUCGUAAUAUGACUUUUUUAUUUUUUUCUCAAGGUAAUUAUAACCUCCUAUAAGAGGUCAAAUUCACUCUUGCAUGGUGCAAGACCUAAGAUGUCCUUGCACCCUAACAGCCACCGAAAAUAAGUCACUGAAAUGUUUUUUUUCGAUUCGGAAUCCGAGGAAUUUUUUUAAUCAGACAACUUCAACAAGAUGUAAAAACUCCCAAAACUUCCCAACUUUUUUUUAGAAAGUAAAAUGAUAUUAAUAGAUAAAAAUACAAUCUUGAAAAAGAUUUUAAAGUGCAAAGCUCCAUCAGUCACAAUCUACAACACAUAUUGAAUAAAAACCCAACCACAAAAGAUAUAAAACCUAAGGAAGGAAAAGCCCCGAAAAAUCCAUNNNNNNNNNNNNNNNNNNNNNNNNNNNNNNNNNNNNNNNNNNNNNNNNNNNNNNNNNNNNNNNNNNNNNNNNNNNNNNNNNNNNNNNNNNNNNNNNNNNNGUAAUGUUGUGUGAAAAUUGUGAAACAGGAUUAACAAUUUUCACCCAGAAAAACCACUAUUGACCAUGUUUACGAAUUUCGUCCACCUUAAAGAUGCAAAUGCAAAGCAAGGUCGAAUUUCGUGAUGGUGGCGAUUCGCACCCAGAUCCGGGGCUUUCGUGUUGGUUUGAUGCAAAGCGGAGAUGAGAGUUGGAUUGGGUGGCGCAAGGCUGCGGUGGUGGGCUGUUAAGUUUGGUGGAUUUUUUUGGAGUGGGGCUGGUUGGUUCUUGUGUGGUGGUUGGAUUGCUGUUUCUGAAUUCUGGCACGGCGCAGUAAUAGCUCUAUCUGGGUUUUUGGGAUGAGUAUGGUGGGUGAGGGAGGGAGAUGGAGGUGGGGAAGGGGGAGGUGCAGUGUAGGACAAAGGUGGAAGAUGGGAAGGAUAUAAGGAUAAUUUCGUAAUAUGACUUUUUUAUUUUUUUCUCAAGGUAAUUAUAACCUCCUAUAAGAGGUCAAAUUCACUCUUGCAUGGUGCAAGACCUAAGAUGUCCUUGCACCCUAACAGCCACCGAAAAUAAGUCACUGAAAUGUUUUUUUUCGAUUCGGAAUCCGAGGAAUUUUUUUAAUCAGAAUAGGCCCCUACCCGUAUUAUAUGCUUAUGUGGCUCUUAUUUUGCACAGUCAUCAAUUCGAAGUGUAUUUUUUAUUUUUUUUAUAUUCCAACUGUGUUAAUUAACAAUUUUUUUAUUUUUAAUUCACAAAUAAUUUUUUUUUUCAUCUCCAUUGCUGAAGUAAAGAGUGGCUCCCAAUCAUGUAGCUGACAACAAAUGUAAUUUUUCAUUCUUCUUCUCAUAAAUUUUUUAAUAGAAUUUUUAAUUGAUCUUCAUCUUCAACCCUCACUACCACAUUCAUCAAGCCCCCUUCAUUUCAUUUUCAAUAUUGCACCACCGCCAACCCAAGUUCUCACAAAAUCAUCACCACCCACAACCACCACAUUGUUCAAUCUUUCCAACCCAUAUCAGAAGAGAAAGCAUGAAACCAAAAUAUCCGAACUCAAAAACCCAGAUUCUCGACCCAAAACACAUACAACUAAAUUUAUUCACCAUCAUUUUCAUCAUUCUUUCAUCAUCUUCUUCCUUCAAUAGGAAAAAAAAUCAGAAAAACAAAAACAUAUAACCAAACCCAAUGCCAUCAACACCACCCAGAUCUGAACAAAGGAAGAUGAAGGAGGGAAGCCAUCGAAACCCAACACCCACCACAUCGAAUCGUCUCCCCAUCAGACCAGAUCUGCCUCCAAACCUUAGGGCCUCUGUUAUCUGCCUCUGGAACCAAACCUCAACUUCAUCUUCUUCAGAAAAGACACCAGAUCUGACCAGAUCCAACAAGAAAUUGACUACCUUCUGGCGGGGUAGGGCACCACCGCGACCCUUGACGAGGUUGAGGUGAGGGUCGACCUCAUCAGCACUGUCGAUGGUGAGAUUGAAGAAGAGUUGUUGUCGGCGCGAAAGGUGAACGAAGGUAUAGGCAGAGGCAGGUGAGUGCGAGGAAGGUUGUGGCUAUGGCGCGGUGUGGCUUUGUUUUGGUCGCAUUUUUGGAUCGGUGGUGGAAAACGACAACGACAGCGACAAGAGAUUGGAAAAUGACGGCGACGACAGGGAGGGGAUGGGUUGGAGAAGUGGGAGAAGUUUAGGUCUAAGAGGAUUUGUGUUCUGAGUGAGUGAGUGAGAGGGUGAAUAAUUUAUUUUAUGGUUUUUUGUGGUUAUUGGUGGAUGAAGAUGAUGAAUAAUUUAUUAAUCUUCUCCCUCCUAACCUAAUCUGAUUGAUCUAUGGGAAUUAAAAAUAAAGUUAUUUGUUAAUCAUAAUUUAUUUAACACAGUUGGAAUAUAAGAAAAAUAAAAAAUACAUAUGGAAUUGAUGACUACGUAAAAUAAGAGCCACAUAAGCACAUAACACAGGUAAGGACCUAUUCUAAUUAAUUUUUUUUCAGGGAUUCGGAAUCGGAAUUUUUUUUCAGGGACUUAUUUUCGUACGGGAGACAAUUUCAGAGACAUGCAUAGUAUUUAAAACUUUCGUUUAUUUACGCCGCAUUCAAGCGACGUAUAGUGAAGUUUUUCAAUCACUGCUAAAUGUGGAGUGUUAAAAAGAACAUACAUGUUUUUGACGGAGUCAAACUACUAUAAAAUUCGCCUUUGUUUUCAAAUGUAAAUUUAUUAAACUUUGUGUUCCUGUAAAUUCAUUUAAAAUCAUUUUCAAGAGUUUUUUUUUCCUAUUGUACAUGCACUUCUAAAUCAAUUCGGUAAAUUUUUCAAUUCAAUAAUUUCAUAUUAUGUGAUACAUUUAUUUCAAUUUUUUGUACAAAUUUUUCCUUGUAAGUGUCUACCGCUACAACGUCAAACCUCAGAGUCAACCUAUACAAAUAACGCAAACGGAUGUACAAAAAUGUCAGCUUAGAGUUAGUUAAACCGACACUAACUAUUAGUGUUGUCCACAAAUAGGCGAUGAUACAUGUUAGCUUCAAGUCGUUUAACGAUAGUUCCGGCGCCGACAAUAAAUCAACUACAAUGCCUAUUUUUGGCUUGUUAAAGGUUGCUUUCAGCCGACAGUAAUGGACAUUUUUUUUAUAGGCUAACAUCUAAAGUCACAUAUAAAUUAGUCUCUGAAAAUUUAUUUCAUAAGUUUUUGUCCCUGAAUUCUUCUUUUUUAUUCGAAAUAAAAUAAGUGACAUUAUAAUGCUCACGUAAAAGUUGAGUUUGGUCCUUGAAUGUUGAUUGGAAUAUUCAGGAAAGAGCAGGAGCUUGUGGAGUUGUGGUCGACGAAGGGUCUGAGAUUUGAUUCGUUCAUUCCAUCCUCCCUUGUUUGCAAUAUUUGAAACUCACUGUAGUUUUGAUUCUGUCUCUCACUUCUGGACGACUGCUGGCUAUGGGGGGUGUGGUAGCUCAGAGGCAGUGGGGCACCGGGGAGGUGUAUGCGUUUUAGUUCCAGUGGAUCGGAGCUUCACUAUUCAGGUUGUUGAUAUACAUGUGCAGACUGUCUUAAACUCAAUGAGCUCCAGCAACAGGUCUUGGACUUGUUAUGCGCAAUUUAUGCAAACCUGAAUCCCACCUUGAGGGAAGUGUAAGAUCAAGGUUUGAUCAGUGGUUGCAUCUCUAUAUUUUGAUGAUUACAAUUAAGGUUUGUGAUGAUGAACAAUUGUGGUACCCUAACGUUUGUCUUCUUUAGUUGUGACAAACAGGUUCUGAAUCUGACCCAAGACUAUUUAUUCAGAAGAAGAAGAACCAAGGGAUACUAAAAAGAGAGUCCUAAAGCGUACCAUGUUCGUUCUGAACAGUGGAAAAUCCUUCAGAAGUUCUGAAGAUUCAAGCUCUCAAGAGGUUCUGAAGAACCAGAGUCAGAAGUUCUGAAGACCAGAUGUUCCAGUGGAACGGUCCAGAAGUAGAAGACUCAAGUUCUGAAUACCUGCAGGAAGUUGGUCCUGAAGACCCAAGCUAUUCUUGCUCUGACGUUCAGAAGUUCCAAGGAACUUGUUCAGAAGCAGAAGUUGCAAGGUCAGAAGAAUCCAAGCGUUAAUCUGACGAAGAUCAGAAGCUUCACCAACGUUCAUCUGAAGCACCUCUGAUCUCAAGUCAACUGGUGAAAGGACAGGUCGCUAUCAUAGUACAACAUCGUACAAGCCUUAGUCUGUCUGCCACCUACCUUGUUCAACCUAGCAGUCUGAUAUUACAAGAGUGCCACUCCAACGGAUAAAACCUUAGCAACGGCUACAUCACAAGUCUUGGAGUAUAUAAAGGCUGAAGAAAGAAGANAGAGCCUAAGAAACUUUGCUGAAAUCAUUCAACAUAUACGAACUCUUAGCAUUAUUUCUUCACUGUUCUUAAACAUCUGAGUUUACUAUUAGCUUUUCAGAAGCACUUGUUGUAAACCCGAAACCUUUUACAUGACAUUGUAAAGUUCCUUAAGAGACCAAGGUUGGUCGGAUCUUGAGAGGACUGAAUCAAGGCUGAUUCAGUGUUUAGCUAGUCUUAAGAGGAUCGGUAGAUCAGCUUCUUAAGAGGAUACUAGUGAGAAAAUCAGUGUAUUGUUAGUCACUUAGCAGGUUGCAAAGUGCAGUUGUAACACUCAUUGAUUUUAGUGAAUUGCCUUCAUCAGAAGAAGGAAGAAAUCACCUUAACAGGUGGACUGGAUUAGCUUGAGCUUUUAUCUCAAGUGAACCAGGAUAAAAUACUUGUGUGCUUUACUUCUUAUCCUUCACACCUAUUUAUUAUCUUCGAGUUUUGAAAAGUUUCAAAAGUGUACCCAUUAUUCAAAAACUCUAUUCAAACCCCCCCUUUCUAGUGUUUUUCGCACCUUCAGGAAGAGCUUUUGGGCCACUUGACUCAUCUAAGGCAACAAAUUCUGGAACCUUGGCUUGCUAAUGGGGACUUCAAUGAGAUUACUUCUCCAUCUGAGGUUUUAGGAGGGGAGUACUGUCAGAAUCGGGCGUCCCGUAUGCUAUCUAUGAUGGAGGCCUACGAGCUCAUUGAUAUGGGAGCCACAUGGAGUGUGUUUACUUGGGAAAGGAGACAUAACAGACGACGUAUGAUUUCUAAACGUUUGGAUAGGGAUGUUGGGGAUGUUUCUUGGCGCCACAAUUUUCCUGAGGCCUAUGUAGAACAUUUAGCCCGAGUUUACUCAGGUCACUGUCCGGUGCUGGUUAAAUGCAAUGCUGCUUUGGAGGACCGUUUAGCUCGUCCUUUAUGUUUUCAUGCCGCUUGGGCGGCACAUCCUCCCUUUGCCCCUUGAUUAGGGACACUUGGAAGGAACCACCACCUUCUUUGGUGCAACCCAUCCUUUUAACACUAACGUGUUCGAGAAUAUUACUAGGAGGAAGAAAUAGGUGGAGCGAAGACUACAACAUGAAUUAGAAGUUAGAGAGACGAAGUCCAUGCUACGACUAGAGAAAUCUUUGCAAGAAUAAUAUGAGCAAAUCCUAACCCAGGAGGAGUUAACGUGGUUCCAAAAGUCCAGGGAGAGAUGGACGAAGUUUGGAGAUCGUAAUACAAAAUUCUUCCAUAGCCAAACUAUAGUGAGACGAAAGAGGAACAAGAUUCAUGGGAUGUUUGUUGGAGAGGAGUGGUGCACAGAGCAUGAAGCGUUAAGGGCGGGGCCCAAGCGUUUUUCACUAAUCUUUGUUAUGUUGAUUCUCAGGUUCGCAGGAAUCAUGUCAUGGGCAUUGUGCCGCCUUCCAUUCCUGAGGGGGAGCAGAAGAACCUAGUUUAACCAAUCUCUCUGGAGGAACACACUCCUAUGGGAGCCACUACAAUAGGGUGGGAUGAUCACUAAUUUUGAUGCUCAGUCCAAAGCACCAAUGUUUGUUUUUGAGGAUGGAAGUUGGAACCCAAUUGUGUGGGGAGGAGGGGUUGCGCGACUGUACUUCAGAACAACGCUGAUGCAUGGGUUUCUGGUGUUUUCAUAAGCUUCAACCAUGGGAGUGCUUUUUUGGCUGAACUUAUGGCGGUGGAGCCCGAGAAUUGAAGCUGGUAGAGAGGGCUCCUAGAUUCAGAUUUGGAGAAACCCUCCCUCUUUUGUUUAUGCAUCGCUGUAUUUGGAUGUUGUUAGUUAGCCUUUCUUUUUGCUAUUAAUUUUCCUCAUGUAAUAAAAAAAACGACAUGUAAGAAAUCACAUUAUGUGCGCUGACAGACAAUGUAAAAAUCUUCAGAGUGUAAUCCAAAUCAGAUUUUAAGUAGGAGAAAAAACCUGUUUGUUUUUUUAAAUUUAAAUGAUUAAAGUUGCACUUUUAAUUUUUAAAAUCCAAUUGGUUUAGAGUGUAUUUUUUUUAUUUAAUGAGUCAACAUAAACAUCAUUAAUUAACAUAUUAUGCCAGGAUAACUUAAGUGAUAAAAGCUAAUAGACAUAUGAGUUGGAGAGAUGGAGAUAGGGGAUCAAUCUUUAAAAUGCAUAUUGGACAUUUUCUAUGUUGAUCGCUUCCUGACAAUAAGGUUAAGAUCAAUUUUCUUGUGCAUUGUUAAUCCUGGGAUCACUUGUGUGUCCAACAUCUCUUCCUUAUGAAUUCCUGGAGGAACAUCCCAAUCAAACGAGUGGAGAAGAUUAGCUAGUGAAAGCUCAAUCGUGGCCACUCCCAUGUUCAUCGCUGGACAAAUUCUCCUUCCACUUCCAAAAGGAAUAAACCCAAAGUCUCUCCCCUUGAAAUCUAUUGAACUCCCAAGGAACCUUUCAGGGUAAAAUUCUUCAGGGUCUUCCCAGAUCUCAGGGUCUCUUGCUAUUGCCCAAGCGUUAACAUGCACUAAAGUUCUUGCUGGAAUCUCAU